ACCAGUAGCGUUAUUUUGUUUUGUUGUACGUUAAGUCAGCGACUUGUGAAGAGUUGUGUUUUGUCGUGUUUGAGCAGUUGGUCCGGACGCGUUAGCUAGCUAAGCGGCUAAGUUAGCUAGCGGGCUAAUCAACACAGGUGGCUAACUUACUGCUGAACACCUGUGUUAGUUGCUGCCGCAGGUGUCCGUCAUUAUUAGAAUGAAAUUCUUAACGUGUAUUUCUCUGCUGUGUAUUUUAGCUUUUAAAAAAGUUAUUUUACUUUAAGGUAAACUGAAACCCGUUGAGCUGCACCGAAGUUUAACAUUGAGCUGGUUUGAAUUAAACUGUGCUGAACAUUGCGCAACAUUACCUCUCUGAAUCUCCAUAAGUUCAUUAAAUUCCUUCUUUCUUCCACUGCUCAAUUUCAAUCCAGUAUAUAAAGUGACAUUAAUAGUGAAUAAACCAUCAACCAGCCAUCGUAUUUAUUUGUUAUUGCAUGUAUUUGUAGUAAAACAUGAGCUGAAACAUCCUACUUUUGGAUCUAGAACUGCACAAGCCGUUCAUUUUCAGUCACCUGACGAGUUAAACUCCCCUUUUUAUGUGAGGUUGAAGCAGAAAGUCUGCAUUAACAAAGAAAGUCCUUCAUAAUUUGCGAUACCUGUUAUUUCUGACUGAGGCUUUAGUUUUUGUUGAGCUGAUUUACAUGUAGAAACUUUGUUCAGGAAGAUUUCUCAGUAGCUCAGAGGACAGGCUGCUUUUUACACAACCUUGUAAGAGAAUGUCUGUCAAUGCUUUCAGCAGAAUUUAGAAACACAACACUUCCUAAACAGAUAUUUUGAGGCUGUGAGGUUGAACGUUUGAGAGUAUAUUUGUGUGUUUGUUUGUGGUCUUUCUGUUUCUAGGUGGAAGCUGAAUUAGUGAGGAUGACUCCUGCUCCUGUCAUCUCUAAGCUCCUCACACAUCUUUACCUGCACAUGAGGAAAAUCACUCCUGUAGAAUGCAGAUGUUCAGAGGGAGAUGAUGCCACAUCUGGUCCAGCUGAUGGAAGGUCUUGAAGUUCUCUGACUGGCCUCGACUGAAGAUGGUCGUCUCACUGCAUUUAAGGUUCAGAUGCUCAGUAACAAACUCCACCAAUGAGCCAACAGGGAAGCUUUAGGUUUAUUAAAUGUUGCUAUGAAGGUAUCGCUGUUUUUCUUUGUGAAUGCAAUGUGCUCCAACUGAAACUUGAAUUAGAACUUAGAAGUAAAUCCUUCCAUCUGAAAGGAUCUAGUUGCAUUAAUAACCUCAUAACAUUCUAAUUUUUAUUCCAGUCUUGGUUGGAAAUAGAAUCUCUGUAUUGAUUCAGGUAAAAACUGAACUUCACAGCAUGUUGGAGCAAAACAACCAGAUGAAAACUGUGAUGGUGUUGGAUUGUCAGACCGUAAUGUUGCAGCUCAAAGCAGCUUUUCUAUCUCGGUUCAUUCUGACAUUCAGCUAUGAAUCAACACAGCAGAUGGUGAUCCAUGCUGUGGAAGUCUCACAUCUCCUGAUUUAAUGGAGCUGCUUUGCACUUUUUACACAGUUUAUUCACCAACACUUUAUUUAAUAAAAGUCCCAUCUAGUUUUUAUGAGGAAUGUGAGGUUUUAAUUUCUCUGUGAAUAACUGCAGUCUAAUGUAACAGCUGGAGUUGUAACAUCUGUCCUGAUAUUGAUCAUGAACCUUCUAACCUUCUGCUGCCUAUUAUCUGAAAACAGGAAUGUUCUGCUCUCAUUACUGAGCACACAGCCUAGUAAGAGGAGCACUUUUCAGAAAUGACUCAUGGGUAUUUAUUUUUUUAACAAAGACAAGAUGAUUGAUUGGUAGCUACAGACACUUGUUUGUAUUUUGUUCCCUUUAGAUAUGAAAGUAGAGUUCAGUUUGUUUCCUGAAGGCCUGUUUUAACAUUCCCUGGAAAUGGACCAAGUGAUGCAACCAAUGUCUGAGUGUGUCGGGGAAGAAGAGGGUCUGAAUUGGAGGUAGGGGGGCUGCAGUUAUUCCCUGAAGGUGUUUCUGUCGCAGCUCUGUGCUGCAGACUGUUCAGUCUAGAGCUGGCUCUCCAUUCACACUGUACAGAGAUCUAGCAUGUCUCUCCAAAUGAUUAAUAAAGAUGUCUUAUUACUAAAA